rnacentral:hammerhead_ribozyme from 1 species
AUCCAGCCGACGAGUCCCAAACAAAAUGAAACACGCUUCCUGGAU